rnacentral:rRNA from 1 species
AACGAACGCUGGCGGCAUGCCUAACACAUGCAAGUCGAACGAGACCUUCGGGUCUAGUGGCGCACGGGUGCGUAACGCGUGGGAACCUGCCCUUAGGUUCGGCAUAACUCCCCGAAAGGGGUGCUAAUACCGGAUAAUGUCUCCGGACCAAAGAUUUAUCGCCUUUGGAUGGGCCCGCGUUGGAUUAGCUAGUUGGUAGGGUAAAAGCCUACCAAGGCGACGAUCCAUAGCUGGUCUGAGAGGAUGAUCAGCCACACUGGGACUGAGACACGGCCCAGACUCCUACGGGAGGCAGCAGUGGGGAAUAUUGGACAAUGGGCGAAAGCCUGAUCCAGCAAUGCCGCGUGAGUGAUGAAGGCCUUAGGGUUGUAAAGCUCUUUUACCCGGGAUGAUAAUGACAGUACCGGGAUAAUAAGCUCCGGCUAACUCCGUG